rnacentral:lncRNA from 1 species
CUAGUGGCAGGUCGUCUGCAGAUUUGUAGAUGGGGCUGGAGGAGAAGUGCCAAUUCCCUCCAGGCCUGCUGAUCCUUUCCCACUUCUCUUCACCUUAGACUGUCCCAGGUGCCCUCCGGCUCUUUGUAAAUGGAGAGGUCGGUAAGUGUCUUGCUAGCAUAGAUCUCUUGAUGCUUAGGCACGUGCCUAGAUGGAGCUGUGAAUAGUCUCCUCCACUCUGGUAGAGGCCUUGUCUGCUGUACUUGGGAAACUCAGUGGUGAGUCUUUCCUGGAAACGCAGAGGGUUCCUGGCCCUCAAAAGACUUGCUCUCAGGGUGUGUAGGCCCCUCAGGAUUGGGUUGGGUGCUAAGGGUGGUAGGAGAAAAAGCUAAAAUAGCUUCCUGUUUUCUCUCGUAGUUUCAGCCCAAGGCUAUGAGUAUGACAAUCUCUACGUCCACUUCUUUGUAGAAUUGCCAACUGCUCACUGGUCAAGCCCAGCAUUCCAGCAGCUCUCAGGAGUAACACAGACCUGCACCACCAAGUCCCUGGCAAUGGACAAGGUGGCUCACUUCUCCUACCCAUUCACGU